rnacentral:rRNA from 1 species
GUCCGCCUACGGGGGGCAGCAGCGGGGAAUAUUGGGCAAUGGGCGAAAGCCUGACCCAGCGACGCCGCGUGAGGGAAGAAGGUCUUCGGAUUGUAAACCUCUUUCAGCAGGGAAGAAGAAAGUGACGGUACCUGCAGAAGAAGUCACGGCUAACUACGUGCCAGCAGCCGCGGUAAUACGUAGGUGGCGAGCGUUAUCCGGAAUGAUUGGGCGUAAAGGGUGCGCAGGCGGUCCUGCAAGUCUGGAGUGAAACGCAUGAGCUCAACUCAUGCAUGGCUUUGGAAACUGGAGGACUGGAGAGCAGG